AAAUUGAAGAGUUUGAUCAUGGCUCAGAUUGAACGCUGGCGGCAGGCCUAACACAUGCAAGUCGAGCGGAAACGACACUAAUAAUCCUUCGGGUGCGUUAAUGGGCGUCGAGCGGCGGACGGGUGAGUAAUGCCUAGGAAAUUGCCUUGAUGUGGGGGAUAACCAUUGGAAACGAUGGCUAAUACCGCAUAAUGCCUACGGGCCAGAGAGGGGGACCUUCGG
rnacentral:rRNA from 1 species